ensembl:lincRNA 4930500L23Rik RIKEN cDNA 4930500L23 gene
GUAAAGCGGUGUACCUCCUGGGUGUCUGAGAGCAUUUUCAUUGAGUGGGAACAUUCGGUUGAGUGAGAGAACCUUUCUGAAUGAGGGGUGGCGCCAUCCCAUAACAUACAAGCCAAUGGGAUAAAAGCGGAAGUUCCCUAGACAUGGGUGGCUCUCUCAGCCUCUCAGCUUCCUGGCCUCUAUGAGAACCAAAUGCACAAUUCAACUGAAAGAAAGAAUACAUCUGUGGCCUUGGCCUGUCCUGAACAUGAAGUGUGAUGUGUUGAAGCUCUGGCAAUCAAAAAAGCAACCAAAGAAGAGAACCAUAGGAGUCCAUGGAUGUAAACCAGGAGGAGCCACUUCCACCUCUGCUGUGAUGCUGGCUGCACAAGCUGGUUACCUGUGCUCCAGGACAAGGCCCAAGUGCAUCUGGGAGGCUGAGAUCAGAACAACGUGAGCCGCUGGCCCAUCUGAGGAUUAAAAGGAGAGAUAACAAAGAAGGUUAACCCUUCCGAGGCUCCGAGGGAGAGGCUGGCCCUGGCCUGAGGGGUCCGUGGAACACUUGGAUGUGGUCCCGGGCACAAGAGAAAAAAGAGAGAGAGAGAGGAGAGAGAGAGAAAGAAAAAAAGCCACUGGGCGAUUGAAAUGGUCGCAUUGAGAUGCGUGGAGCCGGCUGCGGCGCGCGGACUCACUCAAGGGGUCAAGUGACGGACGGAUUGUUCGCUCCUUCAUAAUAAUAUUAAUUAAACAAUUUGCAUGCUAAUAAGGU